rnacentral:lncRNA from 1 species
CAAAUAGGAGCCAACUCUGUGUAUUACAAUUAAUGUGGCGAGAAUGGAUCACUGACACCACGUGGGAGACAGCGGGAACUGAGUGCUAUGUUUGGGACCGUUCUCCAGCCUCCCAGAAAUGUAAAGUUGGAUUUUCUAAUAACUUCUAAUCAUGAGCCACAAGAGCAGAGAAACAUGAAAACAAAUAAUGAUGAGAUGACAAGAAAGCUCCCAAGCACAGACACAUAGCACGGGAGGUACUAGUUGAGCUCAGGAAGCGGUUACUCCAUCUGCCUUUGGAUAAUUAAAGAGACCUUCAUGGAGGAGAGGAUUUAGAGCUGAGGGGAAAUACUUAAUAUACAUUUUCCAGGUAAGUGUUUGAGAGGAGGCGAGUUCCAGUCCUGUAGAUUUAUUUUCAAAGCAGAGAUGUCUUUUGGGUUUUUGUGAUGUCAUUGUAUCAGUCCAGACAAGACAAUCAGCUCCCUAAGCAGCGAAUUUAAAUAAACUCUCCUACAGAAGUUGAAGGAGGAAGGAC